UACGUAGGGGGCAAGCGUUGUACGGAAUUACUGGGCGUAAAGCGCGUGUAGGUGGAUUGGUAAGUCAAAUGUGAAAGCCCGUGGCUUAACCUCGGAAGUGCAUUCGAAACUGUCAGGCUUGAGUCCCGGAGAGGUAAGUGGAAUUCCUGGUGUAUCGGUGAAAUUCGUAUAGAUCGGGAGGAAAACCAGUGGCGAAGGCGCCUAUCUGGACGGUAUCUGACGCUGAGUCGCGAAAGCGUGGGGAGCAAACAGG
rnacentral:rRNA from 1 species